UACGUAGGGUGCAAGCGUUGCCCGGAUUUAUUGGGCGUAAAGGGCGCGUAGGCGGCUCUGCACGUUCGUUGUGAAAUCGCCCGGCUCAACUGGGCGGGGUCAGCGGAUACGGCAGAGCUUGAGCAAGCUAGGGGGCAAUGGAAUUCCCGGUGUAGUGGUGGAAUGCGUAGAUAUCGGGAGGAACACCAGUGGCGAAGGCGGCGAUCUGGGCAGACACUGACGCUGAGGUGCGAAAGCGUGGGGAGCAAACAGG
rnacentral:rRNA from 1 species